rnacentral:piRNA from 1 species
UGCCCUCACAUGGCAGGAACAGUGUAAGC